rnacentral:rRNA from 1 species
UGAUGAUGCUCAGGACGAACGCUGGCGGCGUGCCUAAUACAUGCAAGUCGAGCGAACAGAGAAGGAGCUUGCUCCUUCGACGUUAGCGGCGGACGGGUGAGUAACACGUGGGCAACCUACCUUAUAGUUUGGGAUAACUCCGGGAAACCGGGGCUAAUACCGAAUAAUCUGUUUCACCUCAUGGUGAAACACUGAAAGACGGUUUCGGCUGUCGCUAUAGGAUGGGCCCGCGGCGCAUUAGCUAGUUGGUGAGGUAACGGCUCACCAAGGCGACGAUGCGUAGCCGACCUGAGAGGGUGAUCGGCCACACUGGGACUGAGACACGGCCCAGACUCCUACGGGAGGCAGCAGUAGGGAAUCUUCCACAAUGGGCGAAAGCCUGAUGGAGCAACGCCGCGUGAGUGAAGAAGGAUUUCGGUUCGUAAAACUCUGUUGUAAGGGAAGAACAAGUACAGUAGUAACUGGCUGUACCUUGACGGUACCUUAUUAGAAAGCCACGGCUAACUACGUGCCAGCAGCCGCGGUAAUACGUAGGUGGCAAGCGUUGUCCGGAAUUAUUGGGCGUAAAGCGCGCGCAGGUGGUUUCUUAAGUCUGAUGUGAAAGCCCACGGCUCAACCGUGGAGGGUCAUUGGAAACUGGGAGACUUGAGUGCAGAAGAGGAUAGUGGAAUUCCAAGUGUAGCGGUGAAAUGCGUAGAGAUUUGGAGGAACACCAGUGGCGAAGGCGACUAUCUGGUCUGUAACUGACACUGAGGCGCGAAAGCGUGGGGAGCAAACAGGAUUAGUC